rnacentral:rRNA from 1 species
UGGGGAAUAUUGGACAAUGGGCGCAAGCCUGAUCCAGCCAUGCCGCGUGGAUGAUGAAGGCCUUAGGGUUGUAAAAUCCUUUCGUUGGGGACGAUAAUGACGGUACCCAAAGAAGAAGCUCCGGCUAACUUCGUGCCAGCAGCCGCGGUAAUACGAAGGGGGCUAGCGUUGUUCGGAUUUACUGGGCGUAAAGCGCGUGUAGGCGGAUUUGUAAGUUGGGGUGAAAUCCCGAGGCUCAACCUCGGAACUGCCUCCAAAACUACAAGUCUGGACCUAAGUAGAGGCAAGUGGAAUUGCGAGUGUAGAGGUGAAAUUCGUAGAUAUUCGCAGGAACACCAGUGGCGAAGGCGACUUGCUGGACUUAUGGUGACGCUGAGACGCGAAAGCGUGGGGAGCAAACAGGAUUAGAUACCCUAGUAGUCCCUGAGCGGGCUGGCAAGGCGCAU